ACUGUUUUAAUGCUCCACCCGCCAAGCAUGCUAAGUGACACAAAUCAAGCGCACCCAGGAAGUUACGUGGACAGGUGAAAGCUGGAACUGGCUGCAAAAUGCGCAUGGUGGAUCCUCCAGUGGUUUCUUCUGUGACUUCUGUAACUUCUGUAACUUUUACUUUCAGAGAGGAGGUAAUGAGGUACUGGGCCAGGUUGAUGCUGACCGGUGUUCCUGUGAUAGUGACAUGGCGGUCGCUCGUCCCGUCCAGCUGGCUGCCGAUCUUGAUCUGUGCCCCUGAUACCUGCCUGAUCUCGUUGAUCUUGGUGCCCUGACGGCCGAUGAUUGAGCCGAUCAGCUGCAGAAGAACACAGGCAGAGACAGAUCGCUGAGUUUGAUGGGGAAAGCUGACAUGCUUUACAAGAUGGGGAAAUACUAACAACACGAAGAAUAAAAAUGCAUGAGUUGCUUCUGCUUACAUCAUUGGGAAUAAGCAGCUCCUGAGAUGUCUGAGAAUUGGAGUCCAUCCCUGAAGAGAGAAAAAAACACCAGCACCGACUGAAUAAAAUUGACAUAUCUGACAUUCUGAUAUUCAUUCAACUCUUUUAGUAAGUGAAGCCACACAAACUGGCAUUGAUAGGCUGGAAAAAAGCCUUUGAGCGGGGAACAGCUAGAUAUAGUAAAGCAGUUAAUUUCCAUUUUAAUGGACUGAUGUUUAACACGGCACUCAUUCUUUUCCUUCUCCCAGUUCUCUGACUCUGCGGAACGUAUCAUUUCACAUAAUAGUUUCUAUGAGAGAGAGCGAGAGCUAUAAAGCCUCGUCUCCUCCUUCCUCACUGACAUAAGCACAUUAUCAGUGCUGCUAAUGACAGCGAGCCUUUCUUUCUCAGGUCUAAAGGAAGGUUGGAAAUUUAUGAUAAGUUACAGAUGGAGGAGGGAUGGCAAAACUCUGCGAGCUGCUUAUUUUAUUUGAAAACUGUUUAUUUUAUCAUUCGUAUGACUCUCUGAGUAAUGGGAUGUAAUUGAGAGCAGAUAGGGAUUAUUUUUACUGCUUUACUUACCAGGUAUGAUAGUCGAAGCAGGCUGGGCCAUUGGACUCAGGCCUUGCUGCACUGACAGCUGAUGUAGCUUGGCCAUCUGUAAAAGGGAGAACACAACUUAAUGCACUGUACAAUAAACUAUAAACGACUCAUGUUAUAUGAAAUCAUAAUAUUUCCACAAAUGGUCCUGCCGUACCUCUGAGUGUGGAAUGCCAUAUUGGUUUUGCAAAGUGUAGGCCUGAAAGAGAGCAUCCUGCAUUAGGUAAAUUACAGCAAUAAAACAUCACAUGGGCAAUAAAUCUGCAGCCUCCUAAUGGAAGUGCUUCACUGUCAAUACAUGCCGGUUUUGUUUUUCAGAAUAAGAGAAAUGAGCAUUCGCAGUUCAGCCCUGAAAUGUACAUACUUUGUGAUACACUUAUAACAGCCUCUGCCAAUGCAGGUUUUCAUUUUAAAUAUCCAAAUGGAGUGAAUUGAAUUUUGCCUGUGGUUCCCAUAGCAUUAAAACAUGUCAUAAAGUAAAUGAUUCAACAAGAACAUCUCCUUCCAAAUGCAGUGUCUGUUCUUCCACAUCACUUGGGGUCUCGCUGCUUUAUCUUACAAAAAUGGAAGGAGUCUCUGUCAGCCCGUUUUUUCUUUGUGUCUGUCUGUUUUUGAUUUUCUGGGUCAUCCGAUUGACUUCACACUUGGUGGAUGUAUUACUGAGGAAGGCGAAGUGUGUCUGAGAUCUAAGCGACAUAUUUAUUAGUAGUGUGUUCUGUACACACUGUCAGCCUUACAGACAGGGUGAGGAGUUUCGGGUCUUACAUAGGUGCCAGUUGAGGUGUUGGGCAUCUGAUCAGGAUGCCUCCUGGGUGCCUUCUUUAAGAAGUUUUCUGGGCACGUCUAACUGGUAAGCGGC